GCAGCCUAGAGGAUCUUACGGGUCGGAUUUUGCUACCGGUAUAUUCAGAUCGGCUCCUCUACAGCCAUAUUAUCAACAACAGAACACCUAUCAGAGCCAGAGCUUCAGCGAGAGAUCCGAGAGUUCUUAUAAUCCAAUACGCAUUCCUCAGAAAUUGAGCAUACAAGACUACAACGCCGCUUGGUUAGAGGGAUAGGUUGAUCUGCCUCUUUAUUAUGCUGAUGAUCUGGAUAUUGACGAGAAGCAUCGCCACUCAACCCGAUUUUAGAUAUCUAAGAGUGCUUUAAAUGUAUGUAAUUGAUUGUAUCUUAAUUUGAAGAUAUUUUAUAUUCUUCAUCUCAUUAUUCGAAUCAUUUGGAAGUAAUAAAAUACAUCAUCUAGUUUAAACCUUAAACCUAAAUAUAGAAAUAUCAAAAAAAGAUUCAAAAGUGAGAGAACUUCCAAAAAAAAUGACGCCCCGAACCAGCCAAACCGGUACAGUACCGGUUCGAUUCGGUACGGCACCAGUACCGGUGCCCACUAGUACAUCGGUACGGUCGGUAC
rnacentral:lncRNA from 1 species